rnacentral:rRNA from 1 species
UACGGAGGGGGCUAGCGUUGUUCGGAAUUACUGGGCGUAAAGAGUGUGUAGGCGGUGCUCUAAGUUCGGUGUGAAAUCUCCCGGCUCAACUGGGAGGGUGCGCCGGAAACUGGAGUGCUGGAGCGCGGGAGAGGAAAGCGGAAUUCCUGGUGUAGCGGUGAAAUGCGUAGAUAUCAGGAGGAACACCGGCGGUGUAGACGGCUUUCUGGACCGUAGCUGACGCUGAGACACGAAAGCGUGGGUAGCAAACAGG